ensembl:lncRNA
CCCCGCCCCUAAUGCAACUGACUAAAAAUAAGUUCUGACUUUGCUGACUAUAGCAAGUCAUGGCUGAUCAAGCAAAAAACUUUAUAUUAUAUGUAGGCUAAUUAUUUAUAUAUUUAAUGUCUUAAUAAAAUAUAUCAUGAAUAAUUAAUUCUAACGGAAACAAAACACGAUACAUCACAACUACUAAAACAAAACAUAUCCUAGCAAAGUUUCUAUUUUGCUUAAUGCAUUAAGGCAGGUUAUAAACGCAUUGUUAAAUACAUUCAUCAUAGCUAACACUAAGGAAGAAUCCAGUUCAGAAAGGUGCACUGGAGAACACUGUCUGCCGGAAAUUGCUUUAUAGCCAGCCAAUCAGAAUGGGAUGGCCAAUUUUUGGAUGCUGAGACUAGUUACAACAUACUAAAGAGCUAAAGCACAGGAGCUUGGCUUGAUUAUAUGCGUCAUACUCUGAUUAGUGCUCCAGUACUACGGCUCGGACCGACAGCUCUUCAGUAUCCCAGGAGAGCCUCACCUAGUUAAGGAGGCUUAUUAGAUUUGUCCUAUAAGAGGAACGGAGAGUAGCUGAAGAGAAACACGGCAUAUGGACAUAGACUUGUGUCCCACCUAAUUACAGGCAUUAUCUCAUUUGCUAUUGUAAGGAAUCAACAGGGAAUGAUCUGAUGACCGUUGGGAAUUUUUUAUUCAGAUAGAACAUGAUGUUGCUUUAGAACAUCAGUCUAUUCAAAGGC